rnacentral:rRNA from 1 species
UACAGAGGGGGCAAGCGUUAUUCGGAAUUAUUGGGCGUAAAGAGCUCGUAGGCGGCUUGGCAAGUCGGAUGUGAAAACUCCAGGCUCAACCUGGAGCCGCCAUUCGAUACUGCUAUGGCUAGAGUCCGGUAGGGGAGUGUGGAAUUCCCGGUGUAGCGGUGAAAUGCGCAGAUAUCGGGAGGAACACCGAUGGCGAAGGCAGCACUCUGGGCCGGCACUGACGCUGAGGAGCGAAAGCGUGGGGAGCGAACAGG